rnacentral:lncRNA from 1 species
AGGAAAUGUAGCACCAUUUCACGGUUAUUAGCUAUUUGGAUUUCCUGGCUUGUGAAUUACUGGUUAAGCCUUUUGACAGUUUUUCUGUUGAGUUCUCUCUCUUUUUCAAAAUAAUUUGUAGCAUUUUAAAAAUAUAUUCUAGAUAUAAGCCCUUUGUCAGUUUUACAUGUUGCAGAUAACUUCUCUCAGUCUGUGGCUUGCUUUUUCACUCUUUUCAUGCUACCUUUCAAAAACUAGGAAUUCUUCAUUUUUAUAUAGUACAGCUUGCCCAUCUUUUCCUUAUGCUUAGUGUUUUUCAUGUCAUGUUUAAGAAAUUUUUCCCUACCUUUAGGUCAUGAAGAUAUUCUCCUAUAUGAUCUUCUGAAAGCUUUAUAGUUUUACCUUUAACAUAUAAGUCCUUAAUCCAUCUGGACUUGAUUUUUGUGUUGAUGCGAAAUAAGAGUCCUAUUUCAUUUUCUAUCCUGUGGAUACCUCAGUAUCCCUGCACAAUUGAUUGAGAAGACUAUCCCUUCUCCACUCCUGUGCAGUGUCUCCUCUGUUAUAAAUUAAACUUUACGUAUGCAUGGCUGUAUCUCUGGGCUCACUCUUCUACUCCAUCAUUCUAUUUGUCUUGCCUUAUACCAAUACCAUGGCAGGCAGAAGUCUCUCAACAGCUAUUGACCCAGGCUGUGCUCAUUAGGGAUUAGAAGGAUAAAAGUUAGCUAUAGUCAGAUUAGAAGGAUCUUAAAAAUCAAUUGGAAAAGCCUGGACCUGACCUGAGGAGCAAAGGAGUGCGCCAGCAUGUUACAGAGAAGAGAGAUUAUGAAUGAGCACCUUAGGAAGAUAAAUUUGGGAGUCAAGGUAAGUCUCAGUAUGGGGCUAAGAAAAGAAUAUAGAGGUCAUUGUAGUGGUCCAAGGCUGAGAUCACAGGGAGCGUGGAUGAAGGAGGUGGCAGUGGAACCAAAAAGGAAGGGAUGCAUCCAAGAGACAUUUAGAAGAGAAAGCUGAAAUGAUGGCACUUUGUUACGAGUCCAUGUAAGAGGGAGGGGAUUAGAAAGGGCAAAAUGGCCUGGAAACUGAGGGGUGAUUCUGGUUUGAUGAAAGAGACCCAUAAAGUAGUUGGUGGAGUAUGUUUUCCACCAUUCAAUCCUAAAAGUUCAAUUUGUGUUCCCAAGAGUCAAUCAGAGAAGUCCUGACUGUAUAAAGAUCAUCUUGACAAGGCUGUUGAGCAGGGAUACACCGCCCAUGGCUUGGACUUUUGAGAUUUGAAGUGAGACUUUGGGCCAUAUUCAGGCCCCCUUAGGCAUUGUUGAUUGGAUCUGCUUUGCAUUCUGAACACAAUUUGAUCAUAAGGACAUCCUGAAGCAUAUGAUUUAAUCACUAAGCAACUGUGUUUACAAGGCAAAGUUCAUUCAUAUUAAAACAGCAGCAGCCAGAAAAAUAGCCACCAAAACUAAUGGAAAAAACAAAACUUAAAAACAAAAACAAAAAACAGCUAGCUCUGGGUUAAGUCAUGGAACUCUAUGAACUUAAACAUCCAAAAGGUACUUUGAAUAUUCGUAAAUACAUGUAAACACUCGUUUUAUUCUGUUGACCUAAUAUAUUUAAAUGCAUGUAGCAUUCUUCCUUGCACUCUCCUACCCCUGCUGAUAUACACCAAAGCAUUCAGGUCUAAUAUUAUUACUGAAAAGCCAAAAGCAUAUUUCCAGAUACUGAAUGUGUAUAAAAAGCAGAUGAAGCAAGUCCCUUGAGAAAAUAAAGUCCCAUAGAUUAUGUUGUGAAAAGACAAAAAUAGUGUUUGCAACUCAAUUACAUCACCAAUUGGGUUUUUAAAAAGAGACCAUACACAUUUUAGGUCAUGAAAUCAUUCCCUUAAUCCUUUAAACAACAAAUCAAAUUAAAAUUUAAGAUAAGAUUCACUUGGUUAAAAAUGAUAUGGAAAGCAUUGGCAAAUAAUUAAAAGGGAUUUGGUAACGUAAUAACUAGCUAAUUUAAGCACACAUUUAAUAAAGAAUGGGUUAUGGGAGGAGUUAGUGUUUGUGUUUUUUUCCCAUAGGAAGAAAAAAAGCCUGUCAUUCUUUGUAAGUACUACUGAUGUUUGCAGAAGAAAUCUAAGGUGCUAUGAGAGCAUGUGAGCGCAUCCUGGGCGGCAGGUGUGGAGUAAGCCAAUCUAGACCCUGGAGAUGUCCCCUGAAAGACUGCCAGAGUCCACAGUCAAAGGAGGCGAAAAUGCAGCAUUUCCAGGAAGUUGUCAUCUUGAAGUUUCUGGAGCCACCUCUCAUUUGUUCUGUAGUGUGAGAGCCAAUGCUGACUUUUCUUCUGGGUCUCAGCAAUCCUAUGCUCAAGCGGUUCAACUUACACAGAUACAUCAGCAAAUAUAUGUUCAGGACAAGAAGGUUGUGAAGCAAGAAAACGAAUGAAAUCCCAACGAUCAGGGGGAUGUUAAAGGAGCUUUACUACCCAUUGGCAAAUGUUAACAAAGAUUCCUGGAAAGAAGUUCAGUUAGCACAGCGCUGAGGGGCACUCUUCUUCCUUUGGCCUCCGUUUCACAGAGUACUUGCCUGAGAGGGGCCCCUUCGGGCCCCGUGGCCAGGCAGUGCCCUGAUAGCGCCCGCCUUCUCCAAGCCUCACUUGUGCAUUGGCAAAGCUUUCUGCAGCCUUAAUCCCAUCACCUCCUGCCAGCCGUGUUGUGAGCCUGCCUUUCCUCUUAGCAUCUCCCUCUUGGCAGACUGGCGAGCGAGUGAGCAAGGGCAAUGCUUGUCUGCAGCCACUCAGCUAGUCCAUGCAGAAGCCAGGAAGUGAUCUUAGAGCUGUCUGACUACAGAUCCUUGGCCUCUCCCUCUGUGGUCUGAGGAAAAUUCCCCUGACCUCAGCCUUGAGUCACCUCUGAGGUCGAGAGGUCUGCGGAGGCAGAGGAAGGCUGGGACACACCAGUGCACACCAGCUCAGCCAUCUCCUGGCUCAGGAGCAUCUCUAGAGCUUGCCGACACAUCUCAGUUGGCAAC